CACCGCCCGUCGCUAGUACCGAUUGAAUGGCUUAGUGAGGCUCAGGAUCAGCUUAGAGAAGGGGGCGACUCCAUCUCAGAGCGGAGAAUUUGGUCAAACUUGGUCAUUUAGAGGAACUAAAAGUCGUAACAAGGUUUCCGUAGGUGAACCUGCGGAAGGAUCAUUA
rnacentral:rRNA from 1 species